GUCAGGACUGCAGCGUCGGCCUUUAUCCUCUCCAGUGAACUUAUCUGUUCACAAAGCUCCUCGUUCUGCCUGGUAGAAAAGCAACUUAUCCUUCCUCGUACACUUACUUUAGUACUUUUUGGAAUGAAAUCAUAGAUAAGCAGAACAAAACUACCUGUGACACAUGUUUACUUCUGCGGCACUGUAAAUGUUGUAACUGGACUUUAAGCCGUGCAGCUUAAUAAGCAGCCUAAUGUAUUAGUUUUCCCCACAUUCCAGCCUCUGCCUGAAUUAUGUAAAAUGCAAUUUCAUCACAAUAGACUUUGGCGAGCUGUGGGUACGCCUGGGAUACCGGCUGGUACCAGUCGAAUCUCUACGGCAGCUCACAGAGAAAUAUGGAAGCAUCACUGCUGCAGAAAGACUGCUGAUGUGCUUUGAUCGUUUGGUGCGAAACCAGCUUUGGGCCUCGGCCUCUUGCUCAAAGGCACGGGGAAGUGCUCUGGCGGCUUGCCCUUACCUGCAACGCGAACCACCGCCCUCUCUGCCGGGUCCAGUACAGAGUCCUGGCUCUUCCUCUUCCUGCGCUCAUGUUUGGACAGGUUCCACGGCAGCGUGUCUCCCGGGGGCCCCGCGGGACCCGGCGGACACGGGGACAGCGACCCCGCCGAGCGC
ensembl:lncRNA